UGAACAUGAUUAAGUGAGGAAAAGAAUCUAGCCAUAUUAUAGAGUGGUGUCCUCCUUCAGUGCUAAGAGUACCAAUGAUCAAGAUACUAUCACUAUCUAUAAAAACAUCAUCUUGCAUUUUGAAAUGAAUGUAGUUUAUUAACUUUUUGUAUAACAUUCAAUAAAAAACAUUUUUUCCUCUUUUAAUGCUUAUAAAAUUUUCUAUUGAUAUUCAACAAAUCCUAUGUUCCUAAAUGUAAUUAUUAUUUUAUAUUUUCCUACCGUUUGCCUUUUAUUUAUUGGGCACAACCAAGAAGUACAUUUGAACAUGAUUGAGUGAGGGUACAAAUCUAACUAUAUGAUAAUGAUGGAGUACUCUGUUAAUACCAAGAAUAUCAAUGAUUAAGGUACCAUCACUACUUUAGAAAAACUUCAUGAAGUUGAAAUGAAUUUUUUUUAAUGAAAAUAAAAAUAAAAAUAUUAAACCAUAGAGUCUAUCAUUACAUCACGAUCACAAAAAGUGUGUGAUAUCCCUAGUCUAGCAUUGUUGGUCAAUUCCCACAUACACAUCAUAGUAGGAUUAGAAACUUUGCAUUUAUACAAAUAUGAAAUCGAGCUAAAUUUAGAAUGUAUUUCCCAAACAAUAAAAUUCAUGAAUUUGAAAUGGAUGUUGUUUUCCAAAUUUAUAUUAUAUUUUAAUAAAAUAAUUUUUCCUUUCUAAGUGUGGGCCAUGCCAUGUCAAGUUUGAUAUGGCAGAGAUGCAAGGACAUCAUGAGCAGGGGUGUGAGCCAUGCUAGUUGGGUAUGAUAGAGUUUGCAGAAUCAACAACAAAACCUGUCUUCUUCAAGGUGGCUUAUAGAAUUCAAGCGAAAGUCGAGAUUCUUGGGAUUGGGUGUGUCUUGUAUUUUCCACAUAAUUAUUAUUGGGCUGGGUUUUAGGUCUAUUACAAAAUGAAUAGUAGGUACUGGCACCAAACCCUAAACAUACUGUUGGAGUUUAAAUGGUAAUUUAAUUUAAUUUAAAUUAUUAUAAGAUUCAAAUUACCUUUUGGUUUAUUGUGUAUUUGACCAUCUUUGUAUCUUCUUGUACGAUGUCUCAUAUGUUUAUCUCUAUGUAUUCUCAUAACAUUUCCUGUAUUUACAAAUAAUACUUAAUAUGGUAUCUUCAUUUUUAGGACUUUGUCUCUUCAUCUUUGGGACUCUUUUACUUCACUUUAUGAGAGUCUUUGUCUCUUCAUUUUGAGGGACCUUAUCUCUUCCUCUUCUUGUGAGAGACUUGAAUGAGGGACCUUAUCUCUUCCUCUUCUUGUGAAAGACUUGAAUGAGAGACCUUAUCUCUUCAUUUCUUUUCUAGAAGUCUCUUUUCCUCUAUAAAUAGAGGGGAUCUCUAAGCAUUGUACACACCAAUGACCAACUACAAAGUUCACUCAAGUUAUAGUGUGUUGUGAGGAUUGAAAUAUUGUUUUACUCUCAUUUUGAGUGUUUAUACUUAAGUGUAUUUUGAGUUUUUUCAUCUUUAAUUUGAGCACAAUGUUGGAGUACUCAAAGGGGUCUAGUAGUUGAGUGCACAAUUGCUAGGAGUGCCAUUGGGCUGUUUCAUUUUGGAGGCCGAUUUGUAACUCACCCGGUUGCACCAUUGGGGGCGUCUACGAUCUUAAGGAGAGUGUCAAGUAACACGACUCAGCCCGUCUAUUUUGUUAACAUAUUUUGUUACAGGAUUCCCAAGAAUUUGUGGUUUGAAGAUCUCUUGAAAGCUCAACAACCAAAGAUGAGUGUGCUCUCUCAAUAUUCUGUUACACAAUUUUUGUACACAUACAUUUCCUGUCUUCUUUUCAAUAUCCAAUUCUUAUAAUUGCUACUAUGUCUCAUGAACAGGGGAAGAAAUCGGGAUGGGUUGUAUACAUUAUUUUAAAUGGGAAUUGUGUCUUCCUGGCAGCUGACUAUGUCUUGAUAGGAAAAACUUUUGAUGCAUGUGCGUGGGCACUACAUCAUGGAUUGAAGGAGUCAAACAAAGCAGGAUGGAGCAUUGCUGAGAUCUGAGGAAUGCAAGCAAAUUAAAAGGGAUCCUUUUUGCUGAUAGCACCACACUGUGGCCUUCGAGCGCAACCGCACUGCCUUUUUUGCACAUACCACCUCUAACCAAUUUUUGGCUCAAACCAAACAAUGACGUGCAGAGCCAACGAAAACAAAUCUAUUUUCACAUGCCUAUGUCAAGUCAUAAAAGAAGCACUUUGUGAAAGAAAAGAACAGGAUGAGCACUGUGUCAUUGCUUUUGAGACUCGGCCCACAACAGCUGCUACUUUAAUUCCUGUCUGGUUCCGUUUUAAUGAACCCCCAAGAGACGCCAUAAGGGUGGCUGAGAGGCUCUGUGAAGAUGAUAAAGGCAAGAGAAGAAGAUAAAGUCUGGUGACAGUGGACGCGAGACACAAAAGUUAGAUUAAAAGUGAGCUUUCCACACAUGCUUCCCUCGACGUCUUCCAAUGGUAAUAGUAUAUCAAACCCUUCACAGCCCAGUACCAAGUACCAACCCCCACCACACAAAAAUUUGGAGAGAAAAAAAAAAAGCGGGGUGGGCUCUAAGUUACGCAUGGUUGUGCUGUACACUAUCAUGAUACCUAAUCCCAAUUGUGAAAUUUCCUUCCAAACUGAAACAAACAAUGAUGUAUGCGUAAUACGCACCCCUAACCUCAUAUUUUUGGCAGCUCGCCCAUUGGAGAAGAGAAGAGGGAAAGCAGAGAUUUAUGAAGCCAAUACUAAAUACUACUGAGGAGUUUCGGCUUAAUUGUGUACCUAGUACUGAGUACUGACUGGGUUUUCUGACUUUGUUCUUGGAUUUCCUCGAAUUGUUACUGGUUUGGAUUAUUUUUUUUUGCUGGGUACAGGGUACGGUUUCUUGAACUGUUUUUUAUUUUCUCCCCUUUUUUUUUCCUCUUUCACUGGUUUUUCUAACCGUUCUAUUGAACAUAUAUAUAUAUAUAUAUAUAUAUAUAUUCAGGAAGGUAGGAAAACUGCAGAUGAGGUGAGUCUUGAUUGAAAUUCAGUAACUGUUGAAGUGGGUUCGGAAUGUACUUGGUAUUGGAUCAGUUUUUUUUCCGAAGAACUGCGUGUCAGAGACCACUUCCUCGAGAUACGGUUUGAGUGGAAUCGACUAGAUUGCAUUUCUGGAAAGUGUAAACAGAGUUGGUAAAUCUAGUUUUUUAUUGGAAUUGACAGAAGUUGUUGAACCUGAAGAGUCUGAUGCAUGCAUUUUACUAUCUAUGGUGUUUGAGUUUGUCUCCAACCGGUAGCGAGCGGUAAGAAAUCUAAUUUCAAGGAACCGGAUGAGGUUACUCACAACUCUGAGAGCGGUAAGAAAUCUAAUUUCAAGGAACCGGAUGAGGUUACUCACAACUCUGAGAUCUGGGUUUGUUUCGUUUGGUAGGAAUCAGUAAUGGGGUGCUUCUACUCGACGGCUUGCAUCGAGGCAAUACCCCAAACUCCAAGGGAUUCUCAGAUUAAAGGAGGUGAAAAUGUCAGAGCAGCGGCGGGUUCCUCUCACUCCCCCGUUUCUUCCGAUCAAGAAGAAGAGAGCGGGGAUCAAUUGAAUCAGCUAAGCAGGGUUUCUUCACAGUUUCUACCUCCUGAUGGGUCUCGUACAGUUAAGGUUCCUGCGGGAAAAUAUGAAUUGAGGUAUUCUUUUGUGUCCCAGAGAGGGUAUUACCCAGAAGCACUUGACAAGGCAAACCAGGACAGUUACUGCAUUUACACCCCAUUUGGGUCUAGACCUGACGACCACUUCUUCGGGGUAUUUGAUGGGCAUGGGGAAUAUGGAGCUCAGUGCUCGCACUUUGUGAAGAGGAAAUUAUGUGAGAAUUUGCUUAAAAGUAGUCGUUUUCCUAUGGAUGCCAUUGAGGCUUGCCAUUCUGCCUUCUUGGCGACCAAUUCACAGUUGCAUUCCGAUAAUUAUCAGAAUCCACUCAUCCAGUUGAAUACAGAAGCUAAUUCCAUUCAAGUUCCUAGUUUUCAGUUUAAAAAUUAGAGGACAGAUUAGAGAAGAAUGGAAGAAAAAAUUAGAAAAUACUCAGCAUAGAAAAAUAAACAAUAACAUAUCUGAGAAUUGCAUACAGAAUUACAGAUAACAGAUCAAUGUAUGUGUUUAAGGGAGUAAAGGCUGGCGGCUAUCAUUUACUUUUUUUAGUCUGAAUAUAACCAAUUAGCCACUUCUUGUCUUCUUGAAAAGUGAAAACAAUAAUUAAGCAAAAAGCUUGUUAGCUAACUUCAUUGCAUCGGAAAGAAUAAGUAAGAGUCUGAAUUCUGAAUACAAUUAUUAUCACUAAAAGUCUAAAGCAAAAUUAAAAAUAAAGAAGGAAGAAGAAGGGAGAAAACACAUAGCGUUGGAACUCGUAAGACUCACCGUAGGAA